CUCUAAUCUUUUUGGAAUCAUUUCAAAAGAUUCAAAAAGAUUCGAAAAGAUUCGAGGUGAUUCGGCGGGAUUAACAGAAAAACAGGCGGCCGUCAGUCAUUUACAAAAUACUGGAUCAUUUCGUCCAGUGUUUGUUUUGAUUUUGUAUAAGAAGCCGAUCGGAUUGCUGACCAUGGGAAAGAAAAUUGUUUUCCAUUUGGUGGACUGAAAGCCCAGCAAUGCGCCCGAUUAAUGUGCCGUCGUUAAAUCUGCACCGUGAGUAGCCGAUGCCAAAGGUAUACCUACGCGACGACAAGGAUCCGCGUAGUAGAAGAAGGUCCGUCGCGAUCGAUUCCACCGCCUCCACCAGCAGAGCGGGCUCAAUACCGAAACUCCCGAAUCAAACCGAACCGGAUGGGUACCGGAGUACCCUGUGGAGGUACGUCAGCCAAAUCCACCAGGCCCCAACAAGCACAAGGAAAAUGCCGAAAUGGUUUCCAGUCGGUCGGACUCACCGUCUGCUCAUGAAAAGCAACUAUGAUGAACGUAUUGGUGACGGUAUUCCCGUCUGUUUGGUUGCAGUGAUGGAAUAAUAUUCAGAUUAUCUGUCUGCUGAAGUCCUGGAAUUGACAGGUGAUUACCGCUCGUGAUAACAAGAAGCCCCGAAUCACGAAUGACUGAAGCAUUAGUGCUCUAACGAACCGUAGAAACCUUGAUGGGAAUAGUCGCAGCUGAACCA